rnacentral:rRNA from 1 species
UACGAAGGGGGCUAGCGUUGCUCGGAAUCACUGGGCGUAAAGGGUGCGUAGGCGGGUUUUUAAGUCAGGGGUGAAAUCCUGGAGCUCAACUCCAGAACUGCCUUUGAUACUGGGGAUCUCGAGUCCGGAAGAGGUGAGUGGAACUCCGAGUGUAGAGGUGAAAUUCGUAGAUAUUCGCAAGAACACCAGUGGCGAAGGCGGCUCACUGGCCCGGUACUGACGCUGAGGCACGAAAGCGUGGGGAGCAAACAGG